CGAUGAGCUAGUUGAUAGCGUAAAGUCCUAACAAGGCGAGGAUCCAUAGCUGGUCCGAGAGGAUGAUGAGCCACAUUAGGGAGUGAGUCAUGGCCAGGACUCGUACGGGAGGGAGCAGUGUGGAAUAUUGCGUAUUGGGCGAAAUCAAAAUGCAUUCAUAGCCGUAUGUGUGUAGAAGGCCUUAGGGUUGUGAAGCAUUUUGAAUUGGGACGAAAAGCUAGUGUUUAAUACGCAGUAGCCGUGAAGUUACCUGGAGAAGAAGCACUGGCAGAGUGGGUGCUAGUAGCCGCGGUACUACGGAGGGUGCAAGCCUUAAUAGGACUUUUUCGGUGCAAAGAGCGAAUAGGAGGCUGGUUAAGUCGGAUGUGAAAGCCUUGGAGUAAACGUCGUAAUUGCCCCCGAUGGUGGCAAGGGAGUGAUUCAGAGUUGUGCGGGGAAUUCCCCGUGUACGCAGGGAAAAUGCGCAGAUAUUUGUAGGCCUUCCGGCAGUGAAGGGGGCCCCGCAAGUUGAGACUGAUGCCGAUGUGCGUUAAGAGUGGUGAGCAAACAGGCAGGGAUACAUUGGAAG
rnacentral:rRNA from 1 species